AGCCCGCUGUUCCAGCUCCCCAUUCAUCUCUUGUUAUCACAGGGAAUGCUCCCAGAGCUGGCUGUACCAGGACAUCAGAACGCAUGGUCCCAAGUCAUUCCUACAAAACAGCCCAAUGUCUGCACAGGGUGGCAAACCCACAGGAACGAUCACGAGAGACCCAGUGUUUUUCUGGAGUAUUUUCUAUUCAGGGCCACACCAGCAAGCUUGACUUAGUUUCUCCUCUAUGGAGGAAGGGAUACGUCCAUCUGAAUCCUCUAGCUACAGAGCCUGUGGGUAGCGUUCAAGGCCUCCCUAUGCGGCACCCUCCCGGCCCCACUCCUGGGAAGCAAGCCACCGUCCGGCCAAACCUCCGAGCGCCCAUGCUAUGUCUCGUGCACACAGUAGACGCCUAAUAAACGCAAGCCUUCUAACACUC